rnacentral:rRNA from 1 species
UACGUAGGGUGCGAGCGUUAAUCGGAAUUACUGGGCGUAAAGCGUGCGCAGGCGGUUUGUUAAGACAGAUGUGAAAUCCCCGGGCUUAACCUGGGAACUGCAUUUGUGACUGGCAAGCUAGAGUAUGGCAGAGGGGGGUAGAAUUCCACGUGUAGCGGUGAAAUGCGUAGAGAUGUGGAGGAAUACCGAUGGCGAAGGCAGCCCCCUGGGCCAAUACUGACGCUCAUGCACGAAAGCGUGGGGAGCAAACAGG